GUCGAACGGAAAGGCCCUGCUUGCAGGGUACUCGAGUGGCGAACGGGUGAGUAACACGUGGGUGAUCUGCCCUGCACUUCGGGAUGAGCCUGGGAAACUGGGUCUAAUACCGGAUAGGAGCCAUUUUUAGUGUGAUGGUUGGAAAGUUUUUUCGGUGUAGGAUGAGCUCGCGGCCUAUCAGCUUGUUGGUGGGGUAAUGGCCUACCAAGGCGGCGACGGGUAGCCGGCCUGAGAGGGUGGACGGCCACAUUGGGACUGAGAUACGGCCCAGACUCCUACGGGAGGCAGCAGUGGGGAAUAUUGCACAAUGGGCGCAAGCCUGAUGCAGCGACGCCGCGUGGGGGAUGACGGCCUUCGGGUUGUAAACUCCUUUCGCUAGGGACGAAGCUUUUUGUGACGGUACCUAGAUAAGAAGCACCGGCUAACUACGUGCCAGCAGCCGCGGUAAUACGUAGGGUGCGAGCGUUGUCCGGAAUUACUGGGCGUAAAGGGCUCGUAGGUGGUUUGUCGCGUCGUCUGUGAAAUUCCGGGGCUUAACUCCGGGCGUGCAGGCGAUACGGGCAUAACUUGAGUACUGUAGGGGUAACUGGAAUUCCUGGUGUAGCGGUGAAAUGCGCAGAUAUCAGGAGGAACACCGAUGGCGAAGGCAGGUUACUGGG
rnacentral:rRNA from 1 species